GAUGAACGCUAGCGGCAGGCUUAAUACAUGCAAGUCGAGGGGCAGCACAGGUAGCAAUACUGGGUGGCGACCGGCAAACGGGUGCGGAACACGUACACAACUUACCUUAGAGUGGGGGAUAGCCCAGGGAAACUUGGAUUAAUACCCCAUAAAACAGGGGGCCCGCAUGGGCAUAUUGUUAAAGAUUUAUCGCUUUAAGAUGGGUGUGCGUAUGAUUAGGUAGUUGGUAGGGUAAAGGCCUACCAAGCCGACGAUCAUUAACUGGUGUGAGAGCACGACCAGUCACACGGGCACCGAGACACGGGCCCGACUCCUGCGGGAGGCAGCAGUAAGGAAUAUUGGUCAAUGGACGGAAGUCUGAACCAGCCAUGCCGCGUGAAGGAUGAAGGUCCUCUGGAUUGUAAACUUCUUUUAUAGGGGGCGAAAAAGGGCCAUUCUUGGUCAACUGACGGUACCCUAUGAAUAAGCACCGGCUAACUCCGUGCCAGCAGCCGCCGUAAGAC
rnacentral:rRNA from 1 species